rnacentral:rRNA from 1 species
CCUACGGGUGGCAGCAGUGAGGAAUAUUGGUCAAUGGACGAGAGUCUGAACCAGCCAAGUAGCGUGAAGGAUGACUGCCCUAUGGGUUGUAAACUUCUUUUAUAUGUGAAUAAAAUGUUCCACGUGUGGGAUUUUGUAUGUACCAUAUGAAUAAGGAUCGGCUAACUCCGUGCCAGCAGCCGCGGUAAUACGGAGGAUCCGAGCGUUAUCCGGAUUUAUUGGGUUUAAAGGGAGCGUAGGUGGAUUGUUAAGUCAGUUGUGAAAGUUUGCGGUUCAACCGUAAAAUUGCAGUUGAAACUGGCAGUCUUGAGUACAGUAGAGGUGGGCGGAAUUCGUGGUGUAGCGGUGAAAUGCUUAGAUAUCACGAAGAACUCCGAUUGUGAAGGCAGUUCACUGGACUGCAACUGACACUGAGGCUCGAAAGUGUGGGUAUCAAACAGGAUUAGAUACCCGAGUAGUC